rnacentral:tRNA from 1 species
GGGGAUAAAGCUCAGUUGGUAGAGUGCUUGCCUUGCAUGCAUGAGGCCCUGGAUUCCAUCCCCA